rnacentral:rRNA from 1 species
UAACAACGUAGAUAAUCUGCCUUCAGACGGGACGAACUCAGGGAAACUUGUGCUAAUACCCGAUGAGACCACAAGAAGGAUUUUUGUGGCCAAAGGCGGGCAGCAAUGCUCGUGCUGAAAGAUGAGUCUGCGUCCUAUCAGCUAGUUGGUGGGGUAAAUGCCUACCAAGGCUAAGACGGGUAGCCGGCCUGAGAGGGUGAACGGCCACACUGGGACUGAGCCACGGCCCAGACUCCUACGGGAGGCAGCAGUGAGGAAUUUUCCGCAAUGGGCGCAAGCCUGACGGAGCGACGCCGCGUGAGGGAUGACAAGCUUUCGGGUUGUAAACCUCUUUUAUUAAGGAAAAAAGAUCUAUAUGCUAAUAUCAUGUAGAUUUGAUGGUACUUAUUGAAUAAGCCCCGGCUAACUACGUGCCAGCAGCUGC